AAGAAAGUGGCAGAGCGGUUAUGCGAUUGGCUUGAAACCAAUCUAUGGGGGUUCGACUCCUCCCUUUCUCGA
rnacentral:tRNA from 1 species